ACCAUUUUCUCUCUUAUGGCUGGGCACACAGGUAUAAGAGAGACACUAUUUUCUAAGGCGUUUACUUGUGCUAAGUAAAAUUUUUUCGGGGUCAGAGGAAGAAGUGAUCCAUUUCAUAUUCAGUUUGAUAUCCAGAGUCUGUGAUACUGGCCUUUGCUAAGCAGCAUUUUGGGCAGCUGUCUGAGGAAAGCUGUCAGAGUGUGUGAACACGGUGGUGUGCCUCUCCUUGAGAAUGAGAGAAGGAAGAGAAGGGGCCCAGAUCUGGGAAUGCUGCAUACCAAGAGGCAGCUUUGUUUUUGCCAAGGGCUGUUAUUUUCUCCACCUGUGGUUAGAAGCUCGGUUGGAAAAGAAGAGGGCUCAGGCAUGGGGUCCUAUAUGACUUAAAGUUUGAUCCCACACCACUUUUUACCCACAGGCCUAUUAUUGUUACCCUUUUUGCAUACUGGGGGGAUUAUUCUGCCUUUAAACUGGGACCCCAGGCACCUCUGUCUCUGGAGAGGUUUGUGUGUGGUGUGGAAUUGUGCAUGUCCUGAGAAGGGGACAGAAGUGGUGAUGAUUUUUUCUUACAGUGCAAGGGCCGGGGAGGAUUUUGUCUUUGUUCUGAUAGUUAUGGAGAUAGUGUUGGUUUUUGCUCUCUUCCCUCAGUCAGUUCUUGGACAGUGACUGUUUGAUAGUAAUGGGCUCAUACAUAGCUCUUUUGAGAAUCACGAAAGCUAUGGGCUCUUUCUUGAGAAACAUGUCGGAAGAUAUAUUUUGUCAACAGUCUCAAGGGUUUUACAGAUAACCUGAAGCCUAACCAUGGACUCCAGUUUUAGAGAUCCUGGUCACCAGUUCCUUACAGGAUGCUAUAUAGCUGUGGUAGGGAGAAUAAUGCACCUCUCCAUUUCUAAGUCCUGUUCCGCAGAACCUAUGAAUAUGUUAGGUUCCAUGGCAAGGUGAUUAAAAUGUGAUUAAGGGUCUUGACAUGGGGAGAUUAUCCUGGAUUAUCUGGAUGGACUCAGUAUAAUCACAGGGUGAACUGGGGAGAUAGGAGAAUCAGGAGAUGAGAGGACAGAAGCAGAGCCUAAGUGAUGAUAAUGUGAGAAAGACUUCACUAGGCGACUUUCCAAGAUGGCACAGUAGGAGACCUUGGUUUCAUCGGGUCCUAGGAAUUCAGCUAGAUAGUUAAUUAGAUCGUUGUGAACACCUGCAAACUCAACCAGAGAUCUAAAAAAAGCAUUGCUGAAAUGCUACAGAUAGAGAAGUGAUCACUUUCUGCAAGUGUGGAGAAGUGAAUCUGAGGCAGUAUAUGGGAAGAUAAACUGCAGCGGUGGGGGGAGUGCAGCAGUCAACAUAGGAAACCGAUACAGCAGCUGAGUGCAAAAUCAGAACUUUUAGAAGUCAGCUCCGGUAAGGGAUGUCCCUGCCUGAAAGGCACUCAGGUGGCAAAGAGGGGCAGAAUCUUAGAUGGGACAGUGUGGUCUCAGGAUCCUUGGGGUCACAGAAACAUCAGGGGUGCCUGAGUGUGGCAGAGUUCCCAGGCAUGGUAGUGGGGAAGCCAGCUGCUAUCAUUGAACCCACAAGUGGGCUAUCAGCUUGGUUUUGCCAUAAACUGCAGACUGUGGCAUGGUUGGGCAACUGUUCUCCAAGCAGGCGCCCAGCAUUCCACUGAACCACGGCAAGACCCACCCCUUCUGGAGACUCGAAGCAGAGUCACGUGCCUGAGAUAGAAAUGCUCGGUCACAAGCUGGGUGAGCAUGGAGUGUGGCUGGAGACCUGGGAGACAGGAGUGAUCGGCUGCUUUUUUGUGAGGGCACACAGAGGAGUGGGUCCCCAGGCUCUGUUCCAGGGCCAGAGAUUGGGAGGCUGCUGUUUUCAUUCUCAUCCUCUAAAGCUGCGCAGAAAGCCUUCAGGGAACAGAAGCCACAGAGAGCAAUCUGGAGCUGCUUGCUCAGCUUGGCCCCUUGUCAAGGGCAUGCAACUUCGCCCCUGCAAAGACACUUGAGAAUCACCUCAGCAGGCCCUUCCCCCAGAAGAUCAGCAAGAAUAUCUUAAUAAGCUAAGACCAUGUUUUUACCCAUCAUAGAGAACUCCAGAAGUCCAGCGAUAGGAAAGAAUAGUGUAUAGAAUUCAUGGUAUUUUUCUGAUUGUUUAGUCUUUGAAUUUUAAUUUUUUUCUUUACUUUUCAACCAAUUUCUUAUUUUAUUAACUCUUUCUUAAAAUCUUAAUUUUCGGGGCGCCUGGGUGGCUCAGUUGGUUGGGCAACUGCCUUCGGCUCAGGUCACGGUCCCGGAGUCCCGGGAUCGAGUUCCGCAUCAGGCUCCCAGCUCCAUGGGGAGUCUGCUUCUCUCUCUGACCUUCUCACUUCUCAUGCUCUCUCUCACUGUCUCUCUCUCAACUAAAUAAAUAAAAAUCUUUUAAAAAAAAAUCUUAAUUUUCAUUUUUACAGUUACAUUCUAUCCUUUCAUUGUAUUUCAUUUUAUUUUUAUAUAUAUGUAAGUUUUUCUGUACAGUUCUGGGAUGCAGUUUCUUGUAACAGACAGACCAAAAUACACCCAGAUUCUAGUGUAUUGCUUUGUUCUGUUCUCCUGUCUGAUUAUACUCUCUCUCUCUCUCUCUUUUUUAAAUAUUCUCUCUUUUUAAAAGUCUUCUUAAAUUUUCAUCUCUAGUUACAUUCUAUCCUUUCAUUGUAUUUUAUUUUAUUUAUUUUAAAAAAGAUUUUAUUUAUUCAUUUGACAGAGAGAGAGAUCACAAGUAGGUGGAGAGGCAGGCAGAGAGAGGGGGAAACAGGCUCCCUUCUGAGCAGACAGCCCGAUGCGGGUCUUGAUCCCAGGACCCUGAGAUCAUGACCUGAGCCGAAGGCAGAGGCUUUAACCCACUGAGCCAUCCAGGCGCCCCCUUUCAUUGUAUUUUAUUUCAUUUUUGUAUAUAUGUAAAUUUUUCUUUCUUUCUUUAUAGUUUUGGGAUGUAGCUUCUUCAAACAGACAGACCAAAAUACACCCAGAAUAUAUUAUAUUGCUCUGUUCCAUUCACUGGUCUGUUUAUACUCUUUUCUUUUUUUUGUUGUUUUUGUUUUUUUUCUUUUGUCCUUUUUCAUUUUCGUUUUUACAGUUAUAUUCUAUCUACAUUUCUUAUAUUUAAUUCUUAUAUUUAAUUUUAUAUUGAUGUGCUUAAGUUUAAUUUUGUUUUUGUACAUAUGUAAGUUUUCCUUUCUUUACAAUUUUGGGAUUUAGUUGUCUAACAGACCAAAAUACACACAGGAUCCAGUGUAUUGUUCUGUUCUGUUUACCUGUCUGGUUAUAUUCUCUUUGUCUUAAAGAUUUUAUUUAUUUACUUUUUUAUUUUUUAUUUUGGGUUUCUUCUGAUUUGUUUAGUAUAUAUUUCUCUGGGGCUGUUAUUGCCAUUUUAGUAUUUUGUUCUCUUGUUCAUCUAUUCUUCUCUGCACAGAAUGACAAGAUGGAAAAACUCACCUCAAAAAAGAGAACAAGAGGCGGUACUGACUGACAGGGACCUAAUCAGAAUGGAUAUAAGUAAGAUGUUGGAACUAGAGUUCAGAGUAACGAUUAUAAAGAUAUUAGCUGGGUUUAUAAAAAGCAUGGAAGACUCUAGAGAAUCCGUUUCUGGAGAAAUAAAAACUAAAAUCUAACCAAAUUGAAAUAAAAAAGGCUAUUAUUGGGGUGCAAUAAAAAAUGGUGGCUGUAACUGCUAGGAUAAAUGGGGCAAAGAAUUAGUGAUAUAGAAGACAAAAUGAUGGAGAAUAAGGAAGCUGAGAAAAAGAGAGAUAACUACUGGAUCAUGAAGGAAUUCGAGAUAAGUGAUAUCAUAAAGCAACACAAUAUUAGAAUAAUUGGGAUCCCAGAUGAAGAGGAAAGAGAAAGGGGGGAAGAAGGUAUAUUGGAGCAAAUUAUAGCAGAGAACUUCCCUCAUUUAGGGAAAGAAGCAGGCAUUCAAGUCCAGGAGGCACAGAGAGCCCCUCUCAAAAUCAGUAAAAAUAGGUCUACACCUCGACAUAUAAUAGUGAAGCUUUCAAAUCUCAGAGACAAAGAGAAAAUUCUGAAAGCGGCUCGGGACAAGAGGUCCGUAACCUCCAAGGGUAGAAACAUUAGAUUGGCAGAAGACCUAUCCACAGAGACCUGGCAAACCAGAAAGUACUGGCAUGAUAUAUUCAGGGUGCUAAAUGAGAAAAAAAUUCAUCAAGAAUAUUUUAUCCAGUGAGAUUGUCAUUCAAAAUAGAAGGAGAGAUAAAAAGCUUCCAGGACAAACAGAAACUAAAAGAAUUUGUGAUUAUUGAACGAGCCCUGCAAGAAAUAUUAAAGGGGAUCUUUUAAGUGAAGAGAGAGUCCAGAAGUAACAUAGAACAGAAAGGAACAGAGACAGUGUACAGAAAUAGUGACUAUAGGCAAUACAGUGGCACUAAAUUCUUACCUUCAGUAGUUACUCUGAAUGUAAAUGGGCUAAGUGCCCCCAAUCAAAAGCACAAGAUAUCAGAUUGGAUAAAAAAGCAAGACCCAUCAGUAUGCUAUCUGCAGAAGACUAAUUUUUGACCCAAAGAUGCCUCCAGAUUGAAAGUGAGGGGGUGGAAAACCAUUUACCAUACUAAUAGAUAUCAAAGAAAGCUUGGGUAGUAAUACUUAUAUCAGACAAACUAGAUUUUAAACCAAAGACUAAUAAGAGAUGGGGAAGGCCACUAUAUUGUAAUUAAAGGGUCUCUCCAACGAGAUUAUCUAAUAACUAUGAGUAUUUAUGCCCAUAACAUGGGAACAGUCAAUUAUAUAAACCAAUUAAAAGCGAAAUUAAAGAAAUACAUUGAUAGUAGGGGACUCUUAACACCUCCUUCUAUGCAGAAGAUCAUCUAAGCAGAAGAUCAACAAAGAAACAAGGGCUUUGAAUGACACACUGGAUCAGAUGAACUUCAUAGAUAAAGUCAAAGCACUCCAUCUUAAAGCGAUAAAAUACACAUUCUUCUCAUGUGCACAUGGAACUUUCUCCAGAAUAGAUCACAUACUGGGUCACAAGUCAGGUCUCAACCAGUACCAAAAGAUUGGGAUCAUUCCCUGUGUAUUUUUCAGACCAUAGUGCUUUGAAACUUGAACUCAGUCACAAGAGGAAAUUUGGAAAGAACUCAAUACAUGGAGGUUUAAGAACAUCUUACUAAAGGAUGAAUGGGUCAACCAGGAAAUUUAAAGAAGAAUUUAAAAAAUUCAUGGAAACAAAUGAAAAUUAAACCACAACUGUUCAGAACCUUUGGGAUGCAGCAAAGGUGGACCUAAGACAGAAGUAUAUGGCAGUACAAGCCUUUCUAAAGAAACAAGAAAGGUGUCAAGUAUACAUCCUAAACUUACAGCUAAGGGAGCUGGAGAAAGAACAGCAAAUAAAGCCUAAACCUAGAGGAGAAGAGAAUAAAGAUUGGAGCGGAAAUCAACAAAAUAGAAACCAAAAGAAGAGUAGGACGGAUCAAUGAAACUAGGAGCUUGUUCUUUGAAAGAAUUAAUAAGAUUGAUGAACCUCUGGCCAGACUUAUCAAAAAUAAAAGAGAAAGUACCCAAACAAGUAAAAUCAUGAAUAAAAGAGGAGAGAUCAUAACCAACACUAAGGGAUCAUGUUAUAAGCAAUUACAUGUCAACAAAUUAGGCAGUUUGGAAGAAAUGGAUGCAUUCCUAGAGAAAUAUAAACUAACAAAACUGAAACAGGAAGAAAUAGAAUACCUGAACAGACCCAUAACCAGCAAGUAAAUUGAAAGGCUAAUCAAAAAUCUCCCAACAGGCAAGAUUCCAGGGCCAGAUGGCCUCCCAGGGGAAUUCUACCAAAGAUUAAAAGAAGAAAUAAUGCCUGUUCUUCUGAAGCUGUUUCAAAAAAUAGAAAUUGAAGGAAAAUCUCCAAACUCUUUCUGUGAGGCCAGCAUUACCUUGAUCCCCAAACCAGACAAAGACCCCACCAAAAAGGAGAAUUACAGACUAAUAUCCCUGAUGAACAUGGAUGCCAAAAUUCUCACCAACAUACUAGUCAAUGGGAUCCAGUAGUACAUUAAAAGGAUUAUUCAUCAUGACCAAGUAGGAUUUAUUCCUGGGCUUCAAGGGUGGUUCAACUUCCACAUAGUAAUCAAUGUGAUAUGCUAUAUUAAUAAAAGAAUAAGAAUCAUAUAAUCCUCUCAAUAGAUGCAGAAAAAGUAUUUGACAAAAUAUAGCUUCCUUUCUUAAUUUAAACUCUGCACAGUGUAGAGUUGGAACAUACUUCAGUAUCAUAAAAGCCAUCUACGUAAAGCCCACAGUGAGUGUCAUUCUCAAUGGGAAAAAACUGAGUUCUAUAAGAUCAGGAUGGGAUGUCUGGCAUCCCCCACAGCAGGGAUGUGCACGAUCACCGCUGCUCUUCAACAUAGUACCAGAAGUCUUAGCCUCGGCAAUUAGACCACAAAAAUAAGUCAACUGAAUCAGCAAAGAAGUCAAACUCUCACUCUUUGCAGAUGACAUGAUAAUCUAACCCAAAAUUGCUGGAACUCAUACAGGAUUUCAGCAGAGUAGCAGGAUAUAAAAUCAGUGCACAGAAAUUAGUUGCAUUUCUAUACACUAACAAUGAGAAGAAAGAGAAAUUAAAGAGUUGACCCUUUUUGCAGUUGCAUCAAAACCCAUAAGAUAUCUAGAGAUAAACCUAGCUAAAGAGGGGCAUCUGGGUAGCUCAGUCAGUUAAAAGUCUGCCUUCCACUCACAUCACGAUUUCAGGAUCCUGGGAUUGAGCCCCAAGUUGGGCUCCUCGCUCAGGAAGUCUGCUGCUCCCUCUCCCUCUGCCCCUCCCUGCUGCUCUUGCUCUCUCUGUCCCAAAUCUUAAAAAACCAAAACAACAACAAAAAAACCUGGUAACCAAAGAGGCAAAGGAUCUGUCCUCAGAAAACUAUGCAACACUUAUGAAAGAAAUUGAAGGCACAAAGAAAUAGAAGAACAUUCCAUGCUCUUGGAUUGGAAGAACAAAUAUUGUUAAAAUAUCUGUGCUACUUAGAGCAAUCUAUAUAUUCAGUGUAUUCCCUAUCAAAAUACCAUCAACUCUUCACAGAGCUGGAACAAAUAAUCCUGAAAUUUGUAUGGAAUCAGAAAAGACCCCAAAUCACCAAAGAAAAGUUGGAAAAAACAAAACAAAACACAAAAGCUGGUGGCAUCAUCAAGGCAGUAUGGUACUGGCACAAAAACAGGCACAUAGAUCAGUGGAACAGAAUUGAGAACCCAGAAAUAGACCCUCAAGUCUCUGGUCAACUAACCUUCAGCAAAGCAGGAAAGAAUAUCCAGUGGAAAAAAGAGAGUCUCUUCAACAAAUGGUGUUAGGAAAGUUGGACAGCCAUACGCAGAAGAAUGAAACUGGACCGUUUCCUUACACUAUACACAAAAAUAGACCCAAAAUGGAUGAAAGACCUAAAUGUGAGACAAUCCAUCAAAAUCCUAGAGGAGAGCACAGGUGGCAGUCUGUUUGACCUUGGCCACAGCAGCUUCUUGCUAGAUACAUUUCCAGAGGCAAAGGAAACAAAGGCAAAAAUGAAGUAAUGGGACUUCAUCAAGAUAAAAACUUUUGCACAGCAAAGGAAACUGUCAACAGAACUUAAAGACAACAGACAGAGGGGGAGAAGAUAUUUGCAAAUGACAUCCAGAUAAAGGGCUGGUAUCCGAAAUCUAUAAAGAACUUAACAAACUCGGGGCGCCUGGGUGGCUCAGUGGGUUAAGCUGCUGCCUUCGGCUCGGGUCAUGAUCUCACAGUCCUGGGAUCGAGUCCCACAUCGGGCUCUCUGCUCAGCAGAGUGCCUGCUUCCUCCUCUCUCUCUGCCUGCCUCUCUGCCUACUUGUGAUCUCUCUCUGUCAAAUAAAUAAAUAAAAUCUAAAAAAAAAAAAAAAAAAAAAAAAAAGAACUUAAACUCAACACCUAAAGAACAAAUAAGCCAGUCAAGAAAUGGGCAGAAGACAUGGACGACAUUUCUCCAAAGAAGACAUACAGAUGGCCAAGAGACACAUGAAAAUAUGCUCAACAUCACUUGGCAUCAUUGAAAUACAAAUCAAAACCACAAUGAGAUACUGCCUCACAGCGGUCAGAAUAACUAAAAUUAACAAGUCAGGAAAUGACUUGUUGGCGAGGAUGUGGAGAAAGGGGUAUCCUCCUACGCCGUUGGUGGAAAUGCAAGCUGGUGCAGCCACUGUGGAAAACAGUAUGGAGGUUCCUAAAAGUUGAAAGUAGAGGUACUCUGUGACCCAACAAUUGGACUACUACUGGGUAUUUACCCCGAAGAUACAGAAGUAGUGAUUUAUAGCAUCAAUGUUGACCAUAAUCAACUAUGGAAAGAGUUCAGAUGUCCAUCAACAGAUGAAUGGAAAAAAGAUGUGUCAUAGAUAGAUAUGUAGAUAUAGAUAUAAAUAUAGUAGAAUAUUAUGCAGCUAUCAAAAAUUUGAAAUCUUGCCAUUUUCAACAGUGUGAUGGAACUAGAGGGUAUUAUGCUAAGUGAAAUGAGUCAAUCUGAGAAAGACAAUUAUUUGAUCUCAGUCAUACAUGGAAUUUAAGAAACAAAAUAGGAUCAUAGGGGAAGAAUAAAGUCGAAAUCAGGGAGACAAACCAUAAGACUUAAUUAUAGGAAAUAAACUCAGGGUUGCUGGAGGUGGGUAAGGGAUGGGGUAACUGUGUGAUGGCCAUUAUGGAGGGCACAUGAUUUAAAACAAAUAGAAAGGCUUUACUGGCCAUGAGCCAGGGAAUGUGUGUGGCCUCUAGAAGUCCCUAGAGCCUCCACAAAGAAACACAGCUCUUUAGCUCAGUGAGAAUCAUUUUCGAUUUCUGACCUGCAAAAUUGUUAAGACAAUAAAUUUCUGUUGUUUUAAGCCAGCAAGUUGUUGGUAAUUUGUGACAGCAGCAGUCAGAAGGCUAGCCUAGAUUGCUGACUCCCUUCUUGGAACUGGAAGUGCCACAGAACUGAGAGAAAAUUACUUAAAAACUGUGAGGACCCCCCCACCCCCCAGCCAGGGGAGACAGAAGGUGGGUCUGUGAGGUAGGGUUGACAACUUGGGAGUGGAAGAGGCUGGAUAUACUGGCCAAAGAAGACUGUUAGGUUCUGCCUUCUUUUCUCAGUGUUGCUUUGUCCCAUCUCUUCCACACCUUGUGGUCUCAGAUUCCAGUGAAGGGAGAUAGCUUUUGGAAAAGAGCAGUGCCUCCUUGAAUUUGCCUGAAGGUUAGAUUCUUCCUGCAAAGUGUGUCCUGUGGCCAAUGAGCCCAGAGCGAGAUUCCUGAGGUACACUCUUCACUCUCCUAAAAGUUCCAGACACUGGUCUAGAUACUGAGGAUACAGUAAUAAAGUUUCUAUUCUCAAGGAACAGUAAGUAGACAAGAACAACCCACAGGUACAAUGGUUUUUAAGUACUGUGGGAAAAAAAUCAGGGAGGAAAAUCAAGUGCUAGGCUUUGGGAAGGAGCAGGUUUGUGUGUGUUUGUUUGUUUUUUAAAGAUCCUAUUUAUUUAUUUGACAGGCAGAGAUCACAAGUGGGCAGAGAGGCAGGCAGAGAGAGAGGAGGAAGCAGGUUCCCUGCCGAGCAGAGAGUCCGAUGCGGGGCUCCAUCCCAGGACCCUGGGAUCAUGACCUGAGCUGAAGGCAGAGGCUUUAACCCACUGACCCACCCAGGUGCCCUGGGAAGGAGCAGAUUUAAGUAGGGUGAUAGGCCUCUCUGAGGUGCCAUUUGAGCAUGGUCACAGCAGAAGUGAGGGACUCAGCAGUGAGUGGAAUGAUUAAUGAGAAUAAGAUUGUGAGGCUGAGGUGCCAGCCACAGUGGACGUUCUGAAGCCAAAGCAGGCUUUGUUGAAGACUGGUGGGAGUUUGUUGGGGCUGAUGGCUGGAGGGUUUAGGGGACAACGUGGGGAGCCCCAUGGACCUUGUGAGACUCUGGAUUCCAUGUGUACCUUGGGGGUGGUGGUGGUAGAGAGUUUGUUGGAGGCAGUGCAGUGAGUGGAGGAGUAGUGUGGUCUCACUUGGUGAAUAGCUCAAGGGAGCCAUAACGAGUAGCUGACAGGUAUAGUCGAAUGAAAAGAAAAUGGCUCAUUGAUGGCAUGUGCUAGUGGGAGCAUAAUCUGUGCUCCCAGCCUCCUGGGAGCAUGGAGUAAGCAUGAUGAGUAUCAUCAAGGAAAGCAAGUGGGGACAUGAAACAGGAAUAAGGAGGCAUUCUUGGGACCAAAGAAUUUGGGAGAUGGGUUGAGUAGCAGAAUGGAUGUCGCUAAAGAGUGAAGAAGUUGGAAGGUCAGGUCUAAGAAUUCUGUGCAGCAUUAAGAGGGAUAGAGAGGCGAAAGAUAGGCGGAGCGAAGUGCUAUGGAGGAUGGAGUAGAAAUGUCAACAUUUGUGUAAUAGAAAUCUCCGAGGCAGAGAGGAAGUGACCAGAGGAAGGGGAGGAAAAUGUCUGAGGUUAUAAUAACCCAGAGUUUCCCAGAAAUCAUGAAAGAGGAAAGGUCUGAAAUUUAAAUAAUGCUAAACACAACAGAUGGAAGGAAGAAAUCCCACGCCUAGACACUACAGUAAAAACCUGACAACGAAGAUGUAGAGAAAAUUUCAAAUCUUUUUGAAAGACAAAGUCACAGAGGAAUAAGGGGACUAGUAUCAAACUUGUCAGUAGCAAUAAUGGACCUAGGGGGAAAAAAUAUUGGACCUAGGAGAGACUUUUUCAGGAUCAAAGUAAAUAACUUGAAAAGCAGAAUUGUGAAUCCUGCUAAACUUAUUUAAAUGUAAAGUUGAAAUACUUUUUUCCUUUAGCAUAGCUGACGUUGGAAGGUUUUCCACACCGGGCUCCUGAGUGGAGGAAUUACUUUUAGAGCCCAGGGGCAUGUGGUAGAAUCAGUAAUGUGAGAGAGAGCAUGCUCAUAAGGAAGUGUUCUGUUGGCCAAAAAAGCAAGGGCUUUGGGACUUCGGAGUGAGCAAAGAUUUCUGACAGAAGACACAACACCAGAAACCUUGGAGGAGGAAAUGGGCGCCACCGUAACUGGCUUUUAAAAAUGUUCACUAGAGAGUAAAAAGGCAAGCCAUAGGGUGAGAAAAGAUAUUUGCAAGAAUAUGUCUGACACAUUGCUUAUCUCCAGAGGUUUGAAGAAACGCCUCCCAAGUCAGUAAGAAAAAGUUAGGCAACCCCAUUAGAAAAGGGGCAAAACAUCUUGAACAUUUAAUUUACCAAAAAGGAUGUCUGGAUGGCUAGCAAGCAUAUGGGGAGGUAUUAACCUCUGCAAUCAUCCAAAAUGGCAAAUUAAAACCAUAACACAGUGCUCCUGCACACCCACCAAAAUGACUCAGUGAAAAAGAUGGAUAGUACCAAGUGAUGUUGAGGUGUGGAGCACCUUGGAUUGUUGGGCCCUGCUGUUAGGGGAUAUAAAUUGAUGUGGUGAUUUUAGGAAAUUUGGCAUCCCUUACUAGAGGAAGAAUUAUGUACAUAUUCUACAACUCUGUGAACCAGUCCCAGGCAUACAGCCAACAGAAAUACAUCUCGUGUUCACUUAAAGAUAGGUUCAAAAAUGUUCACAACAGUACUGCUUGCUUGUCGUAGUCACAAACUGGAGUUAAACCAGAUGUCCA